ACACAUGCAGUCGAGCGGAGAUGAGGUGCUUGCACCUUAUCUUAGCGGCGGACGGGUGAGUAAUGCUUAGGAAUCUGCCAUUUAGUGGGGGACAACAUUCCGAAAGGAAUGCUAAUACCGCAUACGUCCUACGGGAGAAAGCAGGGGAUCUUCGGACCUUGCGCUAAAUGAUGAGCCUAAGUCGGAUUAGCUAGUUGGUGGGGUAAAGGCCUACCAAGGCGACGAUCUGUAGCGGGUCUGAGAGGAUGAUCCGCCACACUGGGACUGAGACACGGCCCAGACUCCUACGGGAGGCAGCAGUGGGGAAUAUUGGACAAUGGGCGGAAGCCUGAUCCAGCCAUGCCGCGUGUGUGAAGAAGGCCUUUUGGUUGUAAAGCACUUUAAGCGAGGAGGAGGCUACCUGGAUUAAUACUCUGGGAUAGUGGACGUUACUCGCAGAAUAAGCACCGGCUAACUCUGUGCCAGCAGCCGCGGUAAUACAGAGGGUGCGAGCGUUAAUCGGAUUUACUGGGCGUAAAGCGUGCGUAGGCGGCUUUUUAAGUCGGAUGUGAAAUCCCCGAGCUUAACUUGGGAAUUGCAUUCGAUACUGGGAAGCUAGAGUAUGGGAGAGGAUGGUAGAAUUCCAGGUGUAGCGGUGAAAUGCGUAGAGAUCUGGAGGAAUACCGAUGGCGAAGGCAGCCAUCUGGCCUAAUACUGACGCUGAGGUACGAAAGCAUGGGGAGCAAACAGGAUUAGAUACCCUGGUAGUCCAUGCCGUAAACGAUGUCUACUAGCCGUUGGGGCCUUUGAGG
rnacentral:rRNA from 1 species